ACUAAAUAAUGUUUAAUAUUUAAUUUAUAAUUAUAAUAUUAAAUCUUAAUCUAACCUAUGGCAUUCAUCAUUUACUGCAAAGACUACUUGGGUAUCUAAUCCUGGUUUGUGCUCUGUGCCUUCGUCCUUUAACGUCAGUUUUUACAUAGAAGGCUGCCUUCGCCUUUACCGAGUCCCUUUGGUAUCAUAGAAUUUCAUCUCUCCUCCUCAAGUACUGCCCUCUUACAUAAAACUCUAGUCAAGUACUAACAUUCUAGAAGCUAUAUUGACCGCCUAGGUACCCUUUAAACCUAAUUAAGAUGAAUAACACUAGUCUCUUACGUAUUACCGCGACUGCUGGCACGCAAUUAGUCAAGACACGAUAUAUAUACKGUCAUUAUCAAUAUAUAAACAAAGCUUAUUCAAUUUUAAUACAAUCCUAUAGACAUAUUCAAAGAUAUGAUCAAAAUAGGCUUGCCACUUCUCCAAGUUGCCAGU
rnacentral:rRNA from 1 species